rnacentral:rRNA from 1 species
UCAAUUAACCUGACGCAAGGCCGUGAUGUGUUUCGCUGGAACCUUACUACAUCAGGGUCUUUCACAGUAGACUCUAUGUACCAUGCACUCAUGCAUUUUGAUGUAUCAGUGAGUAAUAAUAAGAAAAUUUGGAAGUCCAAGAUCCCACUAAAAGUGAAAAUCUUCAUGUGGUAUAUUCGUAGGGGAGUUGUGUUAAUGAAAGACAACCUUGCACGGUGCAACUGGCCAGGGAGUAAGAAGUGUUGUUUCUGUACUCAUGACGAGACAAUCAAACACCUCUUCUUUCAGUGCAAGUUUGCACGUUCUACGUGGUCAGUCAUCCAAAUAGUGUCAAAUUUAUAUUCGCCCAUAAGUGUUGCCAAUAUUUUUGGUCAUUGGUUGGACGGAGUACCAAAUAGGUUCAAAACGCUAAUAAGGAUGGGAGCAUAUGCCUUAGUUUAG